rnacentral:ncRNA from 3 species
UACGGAGGAUGCGAGCGUUAUCCGGAUUUAUUGGGUUUAAAGGGUGCGUAGGUGGUUAAUUAAGUCAGCGGUGAAAGUUUGUGGCUCAACCAUAAAAUUGCCGUUGAAACUGGUUGACUUGAGUAUAUUUGAGGUAGGCGGAAUGCGUGGUGUAGCGGUGAAAUGCAUAGAUAUCACGCAGAACUCCGAUUGCGAAGGCAGCUUACUAAACUAUAACUGACACUGAAGCACGAAAGCGUGGGGAUCAAACAGG